rnacentral:lncRNA from 1 species
AGGGGAGGGUGCAGGGUGGGAGGGCUGUGGGGAGGAGGCCUCAAGGACCUGGGGCAGCUCUGAGGGUCAGUGUCCCCCUCCUUUGUCUGCCAGCUGCCUCAGAGCCUUUUGCAUCACAGUAGGAACUUCUGAUUCUUAGAAAGACCGCCCCCUGGGGCCUCCCUGAGGGGCAAGGGUCUCCCUUCCUCUUGGCCUGGCCCCUCCACCUGAGGUAGAAGGCGGCCCAGUCUGGGGUCCUUUUGCGGAGCCCAUUGUGGCCCGCACCCUACCCUCCUUCCCGUCCAGGGGACCCCUCUGACAGCCUGUACACGGGAAGGCCCAUCUCUGGCCUGAGUUCUCUGGCUCCAUGUGCCACCCACUGCCGGGUCCUGACCCAGCCUUCACUCCUCCUUGGGCAUUUCUUGGCCUCACCUCCCAGUCACCAUUCAAGUCCUUUCAGACCCUUUCCCUCAUUUCACAGGGGACCCUGUGUCAACCUUCCACUUACCUCCCCUCAUGUCCUCCCACCUGACUCUUCUCACAGAGACACCCUCCUCCUUCGCUGAAGCCAUCAGGGGCUUUGUGGCCCCAUCACCCCCUGAGGUCACCAUCAUUGUCAGCCGGGACAACCCUCCCAGCUCAUCUCCCAGCUCUCGCCUGUUUCGAGCUACUUCCAUCCAGCAGCCAAGGCCUUGAGGAUUUCCUUGUCAAAGAUGAAGAACUCCCUGCCUGAAAUCCUCCCCAUUCCCACUGUGAAUAAACCCCGCCCCUGGGCUCUAAGGCCCCCUCUGCAUCUGAUACCGACCCUGAUAUCAGUUGCCCCACAUUAAACCCAGCAUAUAUGGGGUUAAAACCAAAACACUCAUUCCCUGUUUACUCUCUGGCUUCCUGGCUCCAGAAUCCACUAUCCUCCGUGGAGACCUACAUGGCCAAGGACAAGCACCUGGAUUAUCUCCUCCCCGCAAAGAGAUAUAGGCUAGUGGGGAAGCUGCUGAUCAGCAAGGUCGUGGGCUCCCUCCUCUCUGCAAGUAGUCUCAAGGCCACAGAUGGGCUGGUGGGAAAGCUCCGACCAGCAAGGCCAUAUGCACCCCCUCCCCUACCUAAAACCCCAAUUAAAAAUCGUUCCUUUUAGCUUUUCAAGGAGUUUGGGAUUUCAGCGUUAGCUGCCCUCUCUCCUUGCUCAGCACUGUGCAAAAAUAAAAUUCCUACUUUCUUC